rnacentral:rRNA from 1 species
AUUGAACGCUGGCGGCAUGCUUUACACAUGCAAGUCGAGCGGCAGCGCGGGGGCAACCCUGGCGGCGAGCGGCGUACGGGUGAGUAAUACAUCGGAACAUGUCCUGUCGUGGGGGAUAGCUCGGCGAAAGCCGGAUUAAUACCGCAUACGAUCUACGGAUGAAAGUGGGGGAUCGCAAGACCUCACGCGAUUGGAGUGGCCGAUGUCGGAUUAGCUAGUUGGGAGGUAAAGGCUUACCAAGGCAACGAUCCGUAGCUGGUCUGAGAGGAUGAUCAGCCACACUGGAACUGAGACACGGUCCAGACUCCUACGGGAGGCAGCAGUGGGAAUUUUGGACAAUGGGGGCAACCCUGAUCCAGCCAUGCCGCGUGAGUGAAGAAGGCC